rnacentral:lncRNA from 1 species
CACAAUUAUGUAAAAAUAGUAGUGAGCAACAGUUUUCACACUUGUUUCAACUGGUCGGCAGAUAUACAAACUCUACCACCCUACGUCCCUGACGCCAGUCAAACACCUGAUUUUCAUUUUGAAGAUCGUCUUCAUGACUCUUUUUCAUAUUCAUUUUCAAUUUUUAAUUUUAGAAAAACAAGUUCAUUCUCCUAGAAGUAACAUACUUUCCGUCAAAUUUACCGUUGACGUUGUCCCAUCGAAAAGUCGCCGGGUGCAAUUUUAACAUUGCAAAAUCUGGUCAAAGGGACGUAAUUCGUACAAAACGUCGCAAUAUUUCGCGGAAUCCGCUAGACGGCGUUCAUUUACUGUUACUUGACCUUAAGUU